GACGAACGCUGGCGGCGUGCUUAACACAUGCAAGUCGAACGGAAAGGCCCUGCUUUUGUGGGGUGCUCGAGUGGCGAACGGGUGAGUAACACGUGAGUAACCUGCCCUUGACUUUGGGAUAACUUCAGGAAACUGGGGCUAAUACCGGAUAGGAGCUCCUGCUGCAUGGUGGGGGUUGGAAAGUUUCGGCGGUUGGGGAUGGACUCGCGGCUUAUCAGCUUGUUGGUGGGGUAGUGGCUUACCAAGGCUUUGACGGGUAGCCGGCCUGAGAGGGUGACCGGCCACAUUGGGACUGAGAUACGGCCGAGACUGCUACGGGAGGCAGCAGUGGGGAAUAUUGCACGAUGGGCGGAAGCCUGAUGCAGCAACGCCGCGUGCGGGAUGACGGCCUUCGGGUUGUAUACCGCUUUCGCCUGUGACGAAGCGUGAGUGACGGUAAUGGGUAAAGAAGCACCGGCUAACUACGUG
rnacentral:rRNA from 1 species